GAAAAUCCGUCGACUU
rnacentral:tRNA from 1 species